AUUGAACGCUGGCGGUAGGCCUAACACAUGCAAGUCGAACGCGAAAGUCCUUCGGGAUGAGUAGAGUGGCGGACGGGUGAGUAACGCGUAGGAAUCUAUCCUGUAGUGGGGGAUAACGUUUCGAAAGGAACGCUAAUACCGCAUACGCCCCAAGGGGGAAAGCGGGGGAUCUUCGGACCUCGUGCUAUAGGAGGAGCCUGCGUCGGAUUAGCUAGUUGGUGAGGUAAAGGCUCACCAAGGCGACGAUCCGUAGCUGGUCUGAGAGGAUGAUCAGCCACACCGGGACUGAGACACGGUCCGGACUCCUACGGGAGGCAGCAGUGGGGAAUAUUGCGCAAUGGGCGAAAGCCUGACGCAGCCAUACCGCGUGUGUGAAGAAGGCCUUCGGGUUGUAAAGCACUUUCAGUGGGGAGGAAAAGCUGGUGGCUAAUAUCCAUCGGCCGUGACGCUACCCACAGAAGAAGCACCGGCUAAUUCCGUGCCAGCAGCCGCGGUAACAC
rnacentral:rRNA from 1 species